UUAGCUCAGUUGGUAGAGCAGUUGACUUUUAAUCAAUUGGUCGCAGGUUCGAAAAAAGCA
rnacentral:tRNA from 1 species